GCGCAGGUAUAGAGCACCCCUCAGCAGGAAAAACAGAACUAGACAACCAUUUGUGCCAGGUGUGAUAUCCCUCCUAAAUAGCUCGGGCGAAUGUUCCUAUCGACUGACAAAGGCAGUAAGUGUUUCCUUUAUUUUGGCAGUGACCUGUAUAUUCUUAUUCAUUAUGAUCUAAAAUGGGAAACUGAUCCUAGAUCAGCACUCCUACUCUGAGAUGCUUUGUGAAUACAGGCCUGGGGUUGUGAUUUGCAUUGUGAUAUCGUGUCAUUCAACCCACAGCUUAAGGCGGCCACAACCCUGGAGGCUGCUAGUGAGGUCAUGGAGGAGGAGUCUUUAAUUCUGCGUCCGCUGGGGGUCCUCAGCCCUGUCCAAACAUGGGAGGACAGGGAAGACAUUGUGCGGUUUGCUGCGAGGGGCUAUUUGGAUGUUUGGUUGUCAUGUGGACCAUUAAGUAUGUUUUGUACAAUAACUGCUGAGUUGGGCCUAGUCACUUUUGGCACUGCUGUGAGAUAAAACCCUUUACAGUAAUUACUUUUAUGAGCUCAGUCUCUUGUGUCCCUCACUCUGUGUUGUCCUUUUUGUUGUUUAAACCAAAUGAAAGGAGGACUGGCUACAUUGGGCUUGCUAGAGGCAUCCUGCUGUAUUCAAGCAGAUAUUACUAGCCAGACCUCUCUCUGCAGUAGACCUCACGCUCUUCCACGUGAACUUCUCAGCCCCCGGUAGUGAUGAGAGAAUAGCUGAGAACAUAACGUAUGGCUACUGGAGGGACUGGCUUAUUGGGGUGGAGUGGAUGUGAGUCUCUGACCGUCAAGAAGCUUCUAGUCUUCGUGUCUGGCCGGGGGACACACUGAGCUUCCCCACACAGCCCACUAUGGAGUUCCCGCACACUCGGGGAGGGGGGGCGACGACACACAUACUCCAGACGUAGAGGAGUCCAGGACCUCAGGCAUACUCCAGACGUAGAGGAGUCCAGGACCUCAGGCAUACUCCAGACAUAGAGGCGACCACGACCUCAAGCAUACUCCAGACGUAGAGGCGUCCAGGACCUCAAGCAUACUCCAGACGUAGAGGCGUCCAGGACCUCAGGGAUACUCCAGACGUAGAGGCGUCCAGGACCUCAGGCAUACUCCAGACGUAGAGGCGUCCAGGACCUCAGGCAUAUUCCCGACGUAGAGGCGUCCAGGACCUCAGGCAUAUUCCCGACGUAGAGGCGUCCAGGACCUCAGGCAUAUUCCCAACGUAGAGGCGUCCAGGACCUCAGGCAUACUCCAGACGUAGAGGAGUCCAGGACCUCAGAAAGUACUCCAGACACUCAUGCUGGCUUGAGAAGCCUCAGUGGAGAAACCAGGUAGACUAAGACAGUGAGCAGGUCAAUGCCUCAGACAUCUAAGAACAAGACAGCUGUUUGGUCCUUGCAACAUGUGUCCCUCCAGUUAAAGAUCAGGUGUCAGUCUGACUGUUUCUUUAUUAUCUCUGCAUUAUCUCUGGGCAGUCCCAGGUUCACUAUCUACAGUAUGUGAAGUUUAUCCAGGGUGGUCCUCCUGAGAAACAAACUACAGACACAAAACAAGAUGCUGUCACCUUCACCCUGACUGGGGGUUCCGUUCUGGAACACUUUGUUGUUGACACAUCUGACGUGCUAAAGUUCUGUAGAUAAUAGCCCCUGGGCCAGAGGGCCAAAGAGGGAUCCACAUGUUUCAGCUUAUUGAUUACUGUUUUGGUGACUAACUUUUAUUCAUGGCUGUGAUUACUACAUUUGUUAUAGUCCCUGUCUUUUAUUCAUGGCUGUCAGAGGUAGUCAGUGGCUUUUCCAUGUCACUUACGUAAUUCUGAUUAUGUAAAUAGUUAAGCAACGAUGGUGGAAACAUCACCAUAUCACCCACAUUAAACCAGAACACAGACCUCCAAAUAAAUGAACUUGAAGUCAUUUGUAUUUAUUGAAUGAAUUGGAGCUCUUUAUUACAUCAUGUUAAUGCCUACGUGUUCAGGCGCCUGAAGCAGGAGGGAACAAACACUUGGUUUGACACAGUUGCAUACAUUUUAUAUCAUCUUCAAAUUCACUUCUAAUUCUAUCUACAAUAACUGAAGUCCUAUAGUUUUGUGUUUUCAUAGAAACAGUCAAAUUUCACAACUGUACAAGCUGAGAUUGCUACAUACAUUUGACUUUCCAAUGAAUGAUGCUAUUGAUUCUUGACAAAUCUAACUUAUACACUGAGUGUAUAAAACAUUAUACACACCUGCCUCUGUCCAUGACUGACUGACCAGGUGAAUUCAGAUGAAAGUGCAACUCAAUAUAAGGUAAUAUAAGGUCGUUCUUAAUGUUUUGUACACAGUAUAAAUGCCUCAUGAACUUCAACUGUAGAUUCCCAUCUGAACUGAAAAUAUAACCUUUUUAUAAUCUGUUGUUUGUAAAUAAUAUAAUUGUUUUAAAAAACACUUAUAGCUUCAAAACAUGACUAUAAUGUUGAUCUCAACGAUGUUCGGUCCUUGCAUCCAUAGCUAUAUCUCUUCUUUUGAGAGUGGUUCCAUUUAUUUAGCCCCGUCCCUCAGCUUUUUACCAAAUCAGCGACGGGGCAAAAACUUUUGUUUGAAAUGCGGAUUGCUCCAUUAAUCCACCAUAAAGCUGCAGACAAACAUAUAUUACAUGUCCGUGCCCAUACCCACAAUACCAUAAUCCAAUCAGACUGCAUUUUAGGUAACACACUUACAAAUAGGAUCAAAGGAGCAUACCAAAUUAUACAGAAAUAGCCAGUGAUAUCCCAGUGCCAUGCACAUCAAAAUAGUCUGACUACUGUAUAGCCUAACUACAAUUCAAUCAGGUAUUAUGACCAAUGUGCCUCUAGUACAGUGUCUGUCUCCAUGAUAUCUGACUCUAGUCUCAUGUUACACCAGAGAAUCUGGCUGGUAAUAUGACUGAACAAAGAGAGAACAUGGCCCACAAUAUAUAAAGCACUUCAGAGCUGCAAUAUACUAGGCUACAUGCAGGCCAUUCUUUAUUCUGAGAAUGGCUUUAAUGCUCAAAAUGACCAGAGAGCACAGUAGCACUGACCAUGGCAUGAGGGAGUUCAUUGGAGACUACCCCGACGGUCGGUUGAGGUCAAAGUCCCCUUUCACACUGUCGGCGCCACUGAAGCAGUCAAGGAGCGUCGGAAAGCCUGAGCAAACGGAUAAUGGAUUGGUCUGUGUUCAUUUUCCCAUUAUGUUGAAAAGCCCCUAGUAUCCUCGUGUGCUGUUAUGGUUUUACCAAGGGUUUUCAGAAAACUACAACCGAGAACCUUUCUAUGUUUAAAAAGGGCCCUAGCAGAAUAAUUAUAUUCCAUACAUUUAAUGAUAGAUGUGCUGGAAUGUAAUGUACUGAAUUGGAUAAUCCAUUCAUGGACUCUCAUGUUUGUUUACAACGUCCCCUAAGAAGCAUAUUUGUAUGUUCUCAUUAUUGAAAUACCCUGGCUAAUUAGAUCAAUAAAAGAAACAAUAUUGUGAUAAUUAUUUAAGUGUGGUAGUAGAGUCAACAGCAACAAAAAAAAAAAGAGUCCAUCA